UAUUCAUAACCAACAAUCAAAUUACAUACUUUUGAAAAGAAAAUACAAAGUUUGAACCUCUAGUUUAGAUGGGGAACAGUAAAGAGGGAAAUGGGCAUAUAUUGCCAUAUUUCCUUCUCCUCUGUCUCCAUCCAAACCGAUACAAUCAUAAGAAAGACAUUCACACAAUCGAAACAUAAAAACAAACCUUUUUCUUUUAGACAUGAAACAUAUAUAAAACAUCACACACUUUUCACUUUCUGAAUCCGAAACAUAAAACAACCCUAGGACUAGAUUCAGAAAUUGAAACCACUACCAUCACCAAACAAAUUAUUAGUGAUUGCAGCCCUGAACACACCCAUGGCCAGCGCUUGAAUCCCAGCCGCCAAAUUAUUAGCUUUUUCACUUAUCACAAUUUAAAAUUUUUUUUAAAAAGGAACAUUUUAGUUUGGAAAGUAGAUAGAUAGGAAUGCUAGAACCUGAAACAUGUUGUAUAUUUGAUAUCUUGAACAUGAUAUAUAUUUUUUUCUGAUAUAUAUGCCCAGCUUUUGUGAAACAAAGAGUUGAAAAACUCAUUAGGAUAGUGAAACUGAUCUGUAUCUCUUUGAAUUUGGCAUUGGUGCGGGGAUGUGAUGCUUCUGUUCUGUUAGGUUUGCUGAAGGAAUUGAUUCCAAUAAACUGUCUCAUUCUAAUAGUCCACACUAAGGUUUUUAAUCUAUCUCUUCCUUUGUCUUUUCUUAGUUUAAGUCCCUGGUUGUGUUAUUAUAAAAUUAUGAGUUCUGUUUGUUCAAUUUGUUCAUUCAAUAUUCUUUUUUCAUGAUUAGGCUAGACUAGUGAUGGAUUUUUAAGAAAAUGCUCUUGAUUCAAUUGGUGACAAUGAUAAAAGUGAAAAUCAUGAGAAUUUAAUUUUGGACGAAUACUUAGAAAUUAAACUUGGACUUCAAGUGAGUUCCAAGCAUAUAAUCUUUAUAAUAAAUAUGCUUUAAACAAGGGGUUUAGCAUUUGAAAAGGACUUACACGAAAUGCUGCUGGUGUUAUUGCUUAUUAGGCAAUGAGAAUUUAUGUUCAAAACAAGGUUAUAAAGAGUUUGAAGACUCUUUUGACUCUAAAAAGUAUAAUAAAUUAGAUGCAAAAGUAUAAUAACUUUGCUUGUUAAGUUUAUUUGUUACUAUUUCCUCUCUUUUUUUAAGGAUAUGUUCAAUCAUCAUUCAUUUCCUUGGAGAUGUCUAUUGCUUAUCUCAUAUUUAACUCUACAAGAAUGCAUCAAUAAAUUCAAGUGAAAAAAAGCAACUACUUCACAAGCUCCUCAAGCUAGUUCUAUGAGACAUGGUAUGUCAAUACUACUAUUUUAAUCAUUCUAUUUCUUAGCUUUAACCACUCUUUCCUCUUUUUCUUAGGAGAUGUUCAAUCAUCAUUCUUUCCCUUGGAGAUUUCUAUUGCUUAUCUAGUUAUCCCAUGUUUGGUUAUACAAGAAUGCUUCAAGAAAGUACCUUAAUGUCACCCUUGAGCUAGGACCCUACAACAAGUUGGUGAAGUAUGAUGGAGAACUUUUUUGGACAAUUUUUUGAUAGCAAACUACACAGUCGUAUCCACAACUAGCGGACAAGAUUUUUGGACGUGUUUGACUUGAGUCUUCUUUUAGAUAGGAUGUCUAACAAUUUGAACAAUUGAUAACACAACUUGUAUCCAUUCUUUUGGAUACUAUUUGUAACUAAUGAAGCUACACAACAUGUUAGAUUCAAUAUUUGUAUUUUUAGUGGUAAAAUUCAUUAGUGCAACUUGUAUCAGUUCUUUUGGAUACUAUUUGUAACUAAUGAAGCUACACAAACAUGUCAGAUUCAAUAUUUG